rnacentral:rRNA from 1 species
GAACGGGUGAUUAAUACGUUGGUGACCUGUCCCGAUGUGGGGAAUAACUGUGGGAAACCACAGCUAAUACCCCGGAUGUUAAAGAAUUUAGACAUCUUGAACUAAACUUCCGUUCCCUCUGGAGGGGCCGUUUCGGCUCAUUACUUUCUUGGUGGGUAACUGCCCACCCAGGCUAAUAAUGCUUGGGCGGGUGAGAGCGCGACCCCCCCCAAUUGAACUGAAAAACCCUCCCUACUCCCCCCGGAGGCAGCACUGAGGAAAUUGCACAAUGGGGGAAACCCUGAUGCAACAACGCCGCGUGAACGAUGAAGGCCUUUAGGUUGUAAAGUUCUUUUUUGGGGGACGAUAGUGACUGUACCUCAGGACUAAGUCCGGGCUAACUACCUGCCAGCAGCUCGGUAAAACGUAUGGCGCCAGCGUUAUCCGGAUUUAUUGGGCGUUAAGCGCAAGUAGGCAGUCGUUGUAAGUCGGACGUGAAAGCUCCUGGCUCCUCUGGGAGAGGUCGUUCAAAACUACAGUGCUCGAGGUUGGAAGAGAAGAGUAGAAUUCCUCGUGUAGUGGUGGAAUGCGUAGAUAUCGGGAGGAAUACCAGUGGCGAAAGCGACUCUCUGGUCCACACUGACGCUGAGGUGCGAAAGCGUGGGUAGCGAACGGGAUUAGAUACCCCGGUAGUCCACGCCGUAAACGAUGGAUACUAGGUGUAGGGGGUCACUGAAUCCCUCUGUGCCGUAGCAAACGCGUUAAGUAUCCCGCCUGGGGACUACGGCCGCAAGGUUAAAACUCAAAGGAAUUGACGGGGGCCCGCACAAGCAGCGGAGCGUGUGGUUUAAUUCGAUGAUACGCGAAGAACCUUACCUGGGCUGAACUACGUGGUAGUAGAAAAGCGAAAGCGGAUCGACCCUUCGGGGAGCCUCGAUAGGUGCUGCAUGGCUGUCGUCAGCUCGUGUCGUGAGAUGUUGGGUUAAGUCCCGCAACGAGCGCAACCCUUGUCGUUAGUUAUACGUGUCUAGCGAGACUGCCGGUAUCAAACCGGAGGAAGGUGGGGAUGACGUCAAGUCAGCAUGGUCUUUAUGUCCAGGGCUACACACACGCUACAAUGGCCGGUACAACAGGUUGCUAUACCGCGAGGUGGAGCUAAUCCCUAAAGCCGGUCUCAGUUCGGAUUGCAGUCUGCAACUCGACUGCAUGAAGGUGGAGUUGCUAGUAACCGCGCGUCAGCAAUAGUGCGGUGAAUGCGUUCCCGGGCCUUGUACACACCGCCCGUCACAUCAUGGGAGUCGGUAACACCUGAAGUCGGUGACCUAACCGUAAGGAAGGAGCUGCCUAAGGUGGGACC